UAACGGCGAGUGAAGCGGCAAAAGCUCAAAUUUGAAAUCUGGCUCCUUCGGGGUCCGAGUUGUAAUUUGGAGAGGAUGCUCUGGGGGUGGUCGCGGUCUAAGUCCCCUGGAACGGGGCGUCGCAGAGGGUGAGAAUCCCGUCUUCGGCCGGCCGACCAUGCCCGUGUAGAGCUCCUUCGACGAGUCGAGUUGUUUGGGAAUGCAGCUCUAAAUGGGUGGUAAAUUUCAUCUAAAGCUAAAUACUGGUCGGAGACCGAUAGCGCACAAGUAGAGUGAUCGAAAGAUGAAAAGCACUUUGAAAAGAGAGUUAAACAGCAUGUGAAAUUGUUGAAAGGGAAGCACAAGCGACCAGAGUCGGCCGCGGGGGUUCAGCAGGGGUCCUCCCCUGUGUAUUCCCCCGUGGUCGGGCCAGCAUCAGUUCUGGCGGCCGGUCAAAGGCUCCGGGAAUGUGUCGCCCUUCGGGACGACUUAUAGCCCGGGGUGCAAUGCGGCCAGCCGGGACUGAGGAACGCGCUUCGGCACGGAUGCUGGCUUAAUGGCCGUUUGUGGCCCGUCUUGAAACACGGACCAAGGAGUCUAACAUCCACGCGAGUGUUCGGGUGUCAAACCCGUCCGCGCAGUGAAAGCGAACGGAGGUGAGAGCCCCUCGAGGGUGCAUCAUCGACCGAUCCUGAAGUCUUCGGAUGGAUUUGAGUAUGAGCGUGGCUGUUGGGACCCGAAAGAUGGGGAACUAUGCCUGAAUAGGGUGAAGCCAGAGGAAACUCUGGUGGAGGCUCGCAGCGGUUCUGACGUGCAAAUCGAUCGUCAAAUUUGGGUAUAGGGGCGAAAGACUAAUCUAACCAUCUGGUAGCUGGUUCCUGCCGAAGUUUCCCUCAGGAUAGCAGUAACGUUUUCAGUUUUAUGAGGUAAAGCGAAUGAUUAUAGGCCUUGGGGUUGAAACAACCUUAACCUAUUCUCAAACUUUAAAUAUGUAAGAAGUCCUUGUUACUUAAUUGAACGUGGACAAUUGAAUGGAUCGUUACUAGUGGGCCAUUUUUGGUAAGCAGAUCUGGCGAUGCGGGAUGAACCGAACGCGAGGUUAAGGUGCCGGAAUGCACGCUCAUCAGACACCACAAAAGGUGUUAGUUCAUCUAGACAGCCCGACGGUGGCCAUGGAAGUCGGAAUCCGCUAAGGAGUGUGUAACAACUCACGGGCCGAAUGAACUAGCCCUGAAAAUGGA
rnacentral:rRNA from 1 species